GCUAGACCAGCCUAGUAAAUUUAGACAUGUAGAUUUCUCUCAAGGAGAAAUGAGACCAGAAUGUUGGAGUGGAAGAUAAUAUCGUAGGUGAAGAGGGAAAUUAAGAAACUAGACGGGGCCGGGCGCGGUGGCUCACGCCUAUAAUCCCAGCACUUUGGGAGGCCGAAGCAGGCGGAUCACCUGAGAUCAGAAGUUCAAGACCAGCCGGACCAACACGGUGAAACCCUGUCUCUACUAAAAAUACAAAAAUUAGCCGGGUGUGGUGGCGGGUACCUGUAAUCCCAGCUACUCCAGAGACUGAGGCACAAGAAUCACUUAAACCCAGGAGACGGAGGUUGCAGUGAGCUGAGAUGGCACCACUGCACUCCAGCCUGGGUGACAGAGACUCCACAUCAGAAAAAAAGAAAAAAAAAAGAAACUAGAAGGAUCCAGAGAAUGCGGUAAG
rnacentral:lncRNA from 10 species